rnacentral:rRNA from 1 species
GUGGAUUAGAUACCCGGGUAGUCCACGCCGUAAACGAUGGAUACUAGCUGUUGGGGGCAACUUCAGUGGCUAAGCGAAAGUGAUAAGUAUCCCACCUGGGGAGUACGAACGCAAGUUUGAAACUCAAAGGAAUUGACGGGGGCCCGCACAAGCGGUGGAGCAUGUGGUUUAAUUCGAUGAUACGCGAGGAACCUUACCAAGGCUUAAAUGUAGAUUGACAGGUUUGGAAACAGACUUUUCUUCGGACAAUUUACAAGGUGCUGCACGGUUGUCGUCAGCU